rnacentral:rRNA from 2 species
GUCGAACGAAGUCGCCCAAUUGAUUCUUAGUGCUUGCACUAAGAUGAUUUUGGAUCCGACUGAGUGGCGAACUGGUGAGUAACACGUGGGUAACCUGCCCAGAAGAAGGGGAUAACACCUGGAAACAGAUGCUAAUACCGUAUAACAACAAGAACCACAUGGUUCUUGUUUGAAAGCUGGCCUUUGUGCUAGUGCUUCUGGAUGGACCCGCGGCGUAUUAGCUAGUUGGUGAGAUAAUAGCUCACCAAGGCAAUGAUACGUAGCAGACCUGAGAGGGUAAUCUGCCACAAUGGGACUGAGACACGGCCCAUACUCCUACGGGAGGCAGCAGUAGGGAAUCUUCCACAAUGGACGAAAGUCUGAUGGAGCAACGCCGCGUGAGUGAAGAAGGGUUUCGGCUCGUAAAACUCUGUUGUUAGAGAAGAACAGCCGUGAGAGCAACUGCUCACGGUAUGACGGUAUCUAACCAGAAAGUCACGGCUAACUACGUGCCAGCAGCCGCGGUAAUACGUAGGUGGCAAACGUUGUCCGGAUUUAUUGGGCGUAAAGGGAGCGCAGGCGGUUUAUUAAGUCUGAUGUGAAAGCCUUCGGCUUAACCGGAGAAGUGCAUCGGAAACUGAUAAACUUGAGUGCAGAAAAGGAUAGUGGAACUUCAU